UAAACCAUGCACCGAAGCUGCGGCAGCGAACGUAUCACUUAAAGCGAUUCAGCGGGUUACGAUUGACGGAGCGAAGCGACGUCAAAGCGUAUACAAAGUCGAGUCGGUUUAAGGAUACGUUCGUUGGGUAGGGGAGCGUUCUGUAAGCCUGUGAAGGUGGCCUGUGAGGGUUGCUGGAGGUAUCAGAAGUGCGAAUGCUGACAUAAGUAACGAUAAAGCGGGUGAAAAGCCCGCUCGCCGGAAGACCAAGGGUUCCUGUCCAACGUUAAUCGGGGCAGGGUGAGUCGACCCCUAAGGCGAGGCCGAAAGGCGUAGUCGAUGGGAAACGGGUUAAUAUUCCCGUACUUGGUGUUACUGCGAAGGGGGGACGGAGAAGGCUAUGUUGGCCGGGCGACGGUUGUCCCGGUUUAAGCGUGUAGGUGUGUGUUCCAGGUAAAUCCGGUUCACUUUAACACUGAGGCGUGAUGACGAGGCACUACGGUGCUGAAGCAACAAAUGCCCUGCUUCCAGGAAAAGCCUCUAAGCAUCAGGUAACAUCAAAUCGUACCCCAAACCGACACAGGUGGUCAGGUAGAGAAUACCAAGGCGCUUGAGAGAACUCGGGUGAAGGAACUAGGCAAAAUGGUGCCGUAACUUCGGGAGAAGGCACGCUGACACGUAGGUGAAGUGAUUUACUCAUGGAGCUGAAGUCAGUCGAAGAUACCAGCUGGCUGCAACUGUUUAUUAAAAACACAGCACUGUGCAAACACGAAAGUGGACGUAUACGGUGUGACGCCUGCCCGGUGCCGGAAGGUUAAUUGAUGGGGUCAGCGCAAGCGAAGCUCCUGAUCGAAGCCCCGGUAAACGGCGGCCGUAACUAUAACGGUCCUAAGGUAGCGAAAUUCCUUGUCGGGUAAGUUCCGACCUGCACGAAUGGCGUAAUGAUGGCCAGGCUGUCUCCACCCGAGACUCAGUGAAAUUGAACUCGCUGUGAAGAUGCAGUGUACCCGCGGCAAGACGGAAAGACCCCGUGAACCUUUACUAUAGCUUGACACUGAACAUUGAGCCUUGAUGUGUAGGAUAGGUGGGAGGCUUUGAAGUGUGGACGCCAGUCUGCAUGGAGCCGACCUUGAAAUACCACCCUUUAAUGUUUGAUGUUCUAACGUGGACCCGUAAUCCGGGUUGCGGACAGUGUCUGGUGGGUAGUUUGACUGGGGCGGUCUCCUCCUAAAGAGUAACGGAGGAGCACGAAGGUUGGCUAAUCCUGGUCGGACAUCAGGAGGUUAGUGCAAUGGCAUAAGCCAGCUUGACUGCGAGCGUGACGGCGCGAGCAGGUGCGAAAGCAGGUCAUAGUGAUCCGGUGGUUCUGAAUGGAAGGGCCAUCGCUCAACGGAUAAAAGGUACUCCGGGGAUAACAGGCUGAUACCGCCCAAGAGUUCAUAUCGACGGCGGUGUUUGGCACCUCGAUGUCGGCUCAUCACAUCCUGGGGCUGAAGUAGGUCCCAAGGGUAUGGCUGUUCGCCAUUUAAAGUGGUACGCGAGCUGGG
rnacentral:rRNA from 1 species